GUGCCAGCCGCCGCGGUAAUACCGGCAGCUCGAGUGAUGUCCAAUAUUAUUGGGCCUAAAGCGUCCGUAGCUGGCCAGCCAAGUUCGUCGGGAAAUCCACCUGCUCAACAGGUGGGCGUCCGGCGAAAACUGUCUGGCUUGGAACCGGAAGGCUCAGAGGGUACGUCGAGGGUAGGAGUGAAAUCCCGUAAUCCUCGACGGACCACCGAUGGCGAAAGCACUCUGAGAAGACGGCUUCGACAGUGAGGGACGAAAGCUAGGGUCUCAAACCGGAUUAGAAACCCUUGUAGUCC
rnacentral:rRNA from 1 species